UUCCUCGCUGGAUUAUUCAGUGACACUGGUACUGAGUGAGACAGCCAACAAUUUAUCUUUGAGACUUUAUUGAGUAACCUGGUGAUUUAUGUGUUUUUCUAAGGACACUUAUUGGAGUGUGGAACUCGCCUUUUGCUGGAGCUUAAGGACUCGUGUAUUUGGAUUCCUCCCCUGGAGACUCUCACCUGGAAACCAACCAUCCUCCGUCCUGCCACUCUCUCUCUCUCCCUCGGACCUGGAACACAAACGGACACCGAAACCUGAAACACUUACCUCCUGGAUUUCCCUUGCCUCCUCCUCCGAGCUGACCUCCCUCCCAAGAGCCUGAUGAACCCACUGCUUUGCAUUCACUGUAAAUAAACAUCAUUUAACUUUUCA